rnacentral:tRNA from 1 species
CGGGGUGUGGCGCAGUUGGUAGCGCGCAUCGUUCGGGACGAUGAGGUCCCGGGUUCGAGCCCCGGCACCCCGA